rnacentral:lncRNA from 1 species
AAAAAACAAUAAUUGUAAUAAUAAGAUAAUCGGGAUAGACUUCACUGCAAAGAGAUCCAAAAUGUUUGGAUGCUGCAAAAUGUAUCUGCCUCCUAAGAGAGGAGUCUUCAAUUUACUUUCAAGAAAGACUAUAUGUUGGGCACCUGGGUGGCUCAGAGGUUGAGCGUCUGCCUUCAGUUCAGGUGGUGACUCCAGGGUCCUGGGAUUGAGUCCUACAUCACGCUUCCCUCAGGGAGCCUGCUUCUCCCUCUGCCUGUGUCUCUGCCUCUCACUGUGUGUCUCUCAUGAAUAAAUAAAUAAAAUCUUAAAAAAAAAGACUACGUUUUGGUUUAGAGAAAUAUGUAUUAGAGGGUUCCCACCUGUUGCCCCAGAGAAAAACAUGUGUACAGUGGAGUAAAGUAAACGUUGAUGUUCGAGACUGCUGCGCUUAAUAAGGCAAACAGAGUGUGUCUUUCAGUGGAGAUGUUAGAUGUUAGAUGGAAGGCAAACAACCACACGAUUCCGUUUCUCUUUAGAUGCCAAGGAAGCUUGCCCUGGACCCUGAGGAUGCUUGGGGCCGGACCAGUGCUGCCCCUGCUGCCUGGAGACUGGCCACCAGGAGCAAAACUACAUCAAAAGGAACGUGUUGGGGACAACGUGGAGAGCCUUCAUCAGCUUCUCAAACAAGACGGUAAAGAGACGUGCGGUUGCUCUAUCUUCACAUCCCUGGAACCUAAAAGCUUCUCAAGUACCCAACCAGAGACAAU